UACGGAGGGUGCAAACGUUGCUCGGAAUCAUUGGGCGUAAAGCGCACGUAGGCGAUCUCGUAAGUCGGAUGUGAAAUCCCAUCGGGCUUAACCGAGGAAGUGCAUUCGAAACUGCAAGACUUGAGUACAGGAGAGGAUCGCGGAAUUCCCGGUGUAGAGGUGAAAUUCGUAGAUAUCGGGAGGAACACCAGAGGCGAAGGCGGCGAUCUGGACUGAUACUGACGCUGAGGUGCGAAAGCGUGGGGAGCAAACAGG
rnacentral:rRNA from 1 species